GACGAACGCUGGCGGCGUGCUUAACACAUGCAAGUCGAGCGGUAAGGCCCUUUCGGGGGUACGACGAGCGGCGAACGGGUGAGUAACACGUGGGUGACCUGCCCUCAGCUCUGGGAUAAGCCUGGGAAACCGGGUACUAAUACUGGAUAUGACUCCAUGACGCAUGUUGUGGGGUGGAAAGCCUUGUGCGGCUGAGGAUGGGCCCGCGGCCUAUCAGCUUGUUGGUGGGGUGANGGCCUACCAAGGCGACGACGGGUAGCCGGCCUGAGAGGGCGACCGGCCACACUGGGACUGAGACACGGCCCAGACUCCUACGGGAGGCAGCAGUGGGGAAUCUUGCGCAAUGGGCGAAAGCCUGACGCAGCGACGCCGCGUGGAUGAUGAAGGCCCUAGGGUUGUAAAAUCCUUUCGUUGGGGACGAUAAUGACGGUACCCAAAGAAGAAGCUCCGGCUAACUUCGUGACAGCCGCCAGUAAU
rnacentral:rRNA from 1 species